CUUUACUCUGUCGGCGUCCGAAGGAAACGGGCGGUUUUCAACACAUUCCUCUUGAAGUAGUUGUAUUUACCAAAUAAAUGCAACAUCAGUGGUGUUGGCAAUCACACAUCAGCAGUAUAUUUUUGUCUGUCAAGCUAAACCGCCCACCCAAGUUAUGUUGUGACUUGUGAGUAGUGACUUCGAACGAUCCUCAACCGCCAAUCUAUUCAUAUUCCAUUUUCAAAAACAUGGAGCUCGACAUAACCUUCUUGGUUGCCGGAAGUCGAUGAAUUGCCCCAAGCCGGUUUUUCUGAUCACAAUCUCCCCUCUACGCCGUCGUAGAACCAACUAACAGGUUGUUUUGAUGAUGCUGUUUAACUAUUAAACUGUAUUUGAAGAAGCCGAACCGUUUUUUCCGCAAACUGAAACAUUUCACGAUGAAAGACGAACCGCAAAACAGCGUUAUGUUUAUCAUAAUCAAGCUUUUUCAUUUUUACAAAAAACUUGUUAGAGGUGGAAACAUGAACAGUAUGUUAAACAGAAAAAUAUGUAGGUAGGCAAAACAAAACGGGAAACUGACAUUCUUCUGCAACAUACUGUACAUUGGUUCUUUAUCGCGUUGAUUUUACCGUAAUCUUAUGACAUUUUGUUAGAUAGCAGUUUAGUUAUUUCCUUUUUUUACUUUUGCGGACUAUGUCUGCACUUGUAAAAGCGUAGUAAAGAUUUUUAAAAAGUUAAAAACAAACCAACGAUAUUAGUGAGUGUAACUGGAGCGAAGACGUCAAAGAAGUUGACCACUAUCCAUGUCAAUGGCUUGAAUUUAUGCGGCAGUUGGAUUGCUCUGGUUUGAAACUGCUUCGUUGGCUAGAACAGAAAUACGCUUUGUAA